rnacentral:rRNA from 1 species
CAGUAGCCGCGGGAAUACGUAGGGUGCAAGCGUUAAUCGGAAUUACUGGGCGUAAAGCGUGCGCAGGCGGUUUGUUAAGACAGAUGUGAAAUCCCCGGGCUCAACCUGGGAACUGCAUUUGUGACUGGCAAGCUAGAGUCUGGCAGAGGGGGGUGGAAUUCCGCGUGUAGCAGUGAAAUGCGUAGAUAUGCGGAGGAACACCGAUGGCGAAGGCAGCCCCCUGGGCCAACACUGACGCUCAUGCACGAAAGCGUGGGGAGCAAACAGGAUUAGAUACCCCCGUAGUCCCUGUCUCUUAUAC